GAACGCUGGCGGCGGGCCUAAUACAUGCAAGUCGAGCGAACAGACGAGGAGCUUGCUCCUCUGACGUUAGCGGCGGACGGGUGAGUAACACGUGGAUAACCUACCUAUAAGACUGGGAUAACUUCGGGAAACCGGAGCUAAUACCGGAUAAUAUAUUGAACCGCAUGGUUCAAUAGUGAAAGACGGUUUUGCUGUCACUUAUAGAUGGAUCCGCGCCGCAUUAGCUAGUUGGUAAGGUAACGGCUUACCAAGGCAACGAUGCGUAGCCGACCUGAGAGGGGGAUCGGCCACACUGGAACUGAGACACGGUCCAGACUCCUACGGGAGGCAGCAGUAGGGAAUCUUCCGCAAUGGGCGAAAGCCUGACGGAGCAACGCCGCGUGAGUGAUGAAGGUCUUCGGAUCGUAAAACUCUGUUAUUAGGGAAGAACAAAUGUGUAAGUAACUAUGCACGUCUUGACGGUACCUAAUCAGAAAGCCACGGCUAACUACGUG
rnacentral:rRNA from 1 species